rnacentral:rRNA from 1 species
UACGUAGGGUGCAGGCGUUAAUCGGAAUUACUGGGCGUAAAGCGUGCGCAGGCGGUCUUUUAAGUCAGAUGUGAAAUCCCCGGGCUUAACCUGGGAACUGCGUUUGAAACUGGAAAGCUAGAGUGUGGCAGAGGGGGGUGGAAUUCCACGUGUAGCAGUGAAAUGCGCAGAUAUCAGGAAGAACACCAAUGGCGAAAGCAGCUCUCUGGGACGGUACUGACGCUGAGACGCGAAAGCGUGGGGAGCGAACAGG